rfam:Salmo salar isolate Sally breed double haploid chromosome ssa23, whole genome shotgun sequence.
AAAAACAAUGUCUGUAAGUCACUUUGGAUAAAAGUGGCUGCUAAAUGUCAGAUA